AACAGGGGAGAAGAAGAAAAGAAUCCCUAACCCCUUACGUUACUUUAAAUCACUGCAUCUCUUCCGUCCGAGCUCCGAUCGCCGUACCGUUUGUGACCACGCGACCACCGCGCUGAGCUCUACAAUUUUACCAGAAUAAUUUCAUAGGAUUCAAUUAGUUUGGGAAAAACGUUCACUCUUGCUUAUAUGAAGCUUGGGUAAGGUUGUGAAUAAAUAAUUGGAGCUUGAAAUUGGGGAUAUUGGAACUUGGAGGAAGCUGAGCACUAGUGUUUAUUGAACUUUUGUGGGGCUGUGUUUGUUUUGGUGAGUUGCUUUGGACAAUACGUAGAAACUGGCCGAGGUAUGGUUUAGGUUUCUUGCAUUUAAUAUAUAAUGUUCUGUGAAAAUUUAGGCUAGAUGACAACAGGAUAAACUGGAACGCAUGGAAAUGUACAAUGCUUAGUAUCCUUGAUAUUUAUAAUGUGAGUUGGUUAUGUGAUAGUGAUUGUUGCUAAAUUGAUAUUAGUGUGGAAAAUGAUUGAGUUGGUGGUGAUAUGGUUAUACAUAUAUUGAGUGAGUGCAUGAUGAAAUUGUUGAAAUGUGAGAUUGUGUAAUGUUAAUGUACGAUGGAUGAUAAAAUGGUGUAAAGUUGUGUUGUUGGUAUAUUGUACAUAUAGGGACUAAAUUCAGGUGUGAAAUGGCUGAUAUGGGAAUGAUAGGUUAAUGAAAUAAUGGUAUAAGGGUUGGUGAAAAGUUGGUUUUUUUUCGAACUUCGCCGAGCUAUAACUUGGCCUCCAAAUCUCCAAAUGGUUUCAAACUUAGCUUGUUUUGAUAAAAAAAUUGGGUUCGUGAAGUUUAUGCCAUUUGAAGAACCCACGAAAAAUGAUUUAAAAUGAUUAAGUUAUGUACGUCAGAAGUUUUUGUUUGGGAUAGGUAAAUUCUGCAGCUUUCUACUUAAUCAUAUUUUUAGAAAAUGUACGUCCACACAUACGCGUGGUCCACACGUACGCGUGGCAUGGAAUUUUUGAAUGAGCUCCUUAUAAGCGUACGCGUAAUGGGCCAGCAUGCAUGUCUACGCGUACGCAUGAUAUGGGGUGCGCGCGCGAGCUGUCUUUUUAUGCUCCCACACGUACGCGUGAGCCAUGUGUACGCAUGGCCCCUAUUCCGGCAAAUAUGAUUUUCUGAGUUUUAAACCUUAUUUCAAACUUUUAAACCUCUUUUUUCAUUCUUCUAGUCAUAAAUAAUAGUAUUAAGUUUGAUAAUCAAGUGAAGUUAGGAAAUGGGGAUAACUUGGAGGUGAAGUAAAGCUGAAAAAGUGAUGAAUUGAUUAUGAAAUGUUAUGAAUGAUUAUGUAUGAUACUUGGCUUGAAUAAUCAAAUGAUCUGAGAUACGAGAUUCGCUAGGUAAAGUACCAUUGCAUGCCACCACGUGUACCAGGUCGAAACUCGAUACUCUGUUGAACCUAUAUCGUAAAGGUGGCCGGGCAUGUGUAAAUUCCUGGGAAUGGUACCCCCAUUGAGCAAUUGAUAUUUAUAUAUAAGAGAAAAAGCUAUGCAUAGACUCUUGGGGAUGCGCGACGAAGGACAGUCCAAAGGUUUAGCAAACCGGACUUGUCGGGUUGGCUUGAUAAUCGACAGAUGAAACUCAUCAGCCAUAAGACAGGCAUGCAUCAUGUGCAUAUUACUUGAAUUACUUGUUUGUGCAUUAACUGGGUGUGCCUAAAUGUACUUGUGAUGUUAACUGUAUAUUUGUUACCUGCAGUACUUGUAACUUUCUUGUUCUUACCUUUAUCUGCUUGUUUGUCUGUGAUAUGUUGUCGGAGAUGGAGGUAUGGAAGAAAGGCGGUAAGACUUAGAUUCAAGGUUAAGUUAAGUUAGACUUAGAUACUCUUAGAAAACCACAUUUUAUGGUUUCUGUUUAAUACUUUAAGCUUUAUAAUCUAAGUGUCGGCAUUCUAGGAUUGCCUCUAGCAUUCCCAGGACCUUAUAUCUUAUAUGUGUGACACCUUUACCAUGCUGAGAACCUCUGAUUCUCACCCCAU